rnacentral:rRNA from 1 species
UACGUAGGCAGCAAGCGUUGUUCGGAAUUACUGGGCGUAAAGCGCACGUAGGCGGCUUUUUAAGUCAGGGGUGAAAUCCCGGGGCUCAACCCCGGAACUGCCCUUGAAACUGGAGAGCUAGAAUCUUGGAGAGGCGAGUGGAAUUCCGAGUGUAGAGGUGAAAUUCGUAGAUAUUCGGAAGAACACCAGUGGCGAAGGCGACUCGCUGGACAAGUAUUGACGCUGAGGUGCGAAAGCGUGGGGAGCAAACAGG